CCUACGGGAGGCAGCAGUGAGGAAUAUUGGACAAUGGGCGCGAGCCUGAACCAGCGAAGCAGCGUGAAGGAUGACGGCCCUACGGGUUGAAAACUUCUUUUAUAAAGGAAUAAAGUGAGGCACGUGUGCCUUUUUGUAUGGACUUUAUGAAUAAGGAUCGGCUAACUCCGUGCCAGCAGCCGGGGUAAUACGGAGGAGCCGAGCGUUAUCCGGAUUUAUUGGGUUGAAAGGGAGCGUAGAUGGGUUGUUAAGUCAGUUGUGAAAGUUUGCGGCUAAACCGUAAAAUUGAAAUUGAUACUGGCAGUCUUGAGUACAGUUGAGGUAGGCGGAAUUCGUGGUGUAGCGGUGAAAUGCUUAGAUAUCACGAAGAACUCCGAUUGCGAAGGCAGCUUACUGAACUGCCACUGACAUUGAUGCUCGAAAGUGUGGGGAUCAAACAGGAUUAGAUACCCGUGUAGUC
rnacentral:rRNA from 1 species